rnacentral:rRNA from 1 species
GAUGAACGCUAGCUACAGGCUUAACACAUGCAAGUCGAGGGGAAACGAUAGAGAAAGCUUGCUUUUUCUAGGCGUCGACCGGCGCACGGGUGAGUAACGCGUAUCCAACCUGCCCAUCACUUGGGGAUAACCUUGCGAAAGUAAGACUAAUACCCAAUGACGUCUCUAGAAGACAUCUGAAAGAGAUUAAAGAUUUAUCGGUGAUGGAUGGGGAUGCGUCUGAUUAGCUUGUUGGCGGGGUAACGGCCCACCAAGGCGACGAUCAGUAGGGGUUCUGAGAGGAAGGUCCCCACAUUGGAACUGAGACACGGUCCAAACUCCUACGGGAGGCAGCAGUGAGGAAUAUUGGUC